AGAGAACAGUCAAGCUAUGAGCAAUAGAGACCUAGUGUAACAAUAAAUACUAUUUCACAUAAGAAAUAGAAAGUGCAGGAAUGUGACUGCUCUAAGUGCAAGUUAAGUACUAGUAGAAGUGCAAGUUUAGGAAGGGAGGUGCUCUCUGAAGAGUUGGGUCUUCUUAAAGGUAGAGAGCCUUUAGGUGGAGUGUGUAGCAUGGCCGCUGUGAGUACUGGGCGUGCUCUGCCGUAGCAUGGCGGCCUGUCAGGGGGUGAUUAAUAGGCUUUGGCAGGUAUCUUCCCAAUCUGAACACAAAUACAAUGGGCGGGGAAGCACUUGCGUUUGAUCGAGGGUGGACUGCGGGGUGUUUCCGGGUGAAUACCUGAGCUGUGUGUGUCAACAGUGAGCCUAGACUUGGCUUUAAACUAGCUUACAUGGAGGGUAAAUAUCUGCGAAGAUGUUGGUUUCAUCCACUUUGAAGUCUGUUGCAUGCCGUGUGAAAACAGACCGCAUGAGAAAAGUGAUAGUCAGUCAGCUGCAGUUCAUAACAUGUGUGAACCUUCUGUUCUGAACCUCAAGGCAACUCUUGUCUCACAGUGACAUUUAAAAGUCAUACUCUGCACCAUUUGUUUGCUGCUGUUGUCACCUCUCAUACAUGGCAAAUUACUACUACUACUACUACUACUACUGCUAAUAAUAAUAACUAGACGUACCACAUAUCAGUGUGUAAUAUGACAGAAAGUGAGAGAAUGAACAACAAUUAAGUGAAAUAAUUCCGUUCCGUUUCCGGCAAAAAUAGACUAAAGACAUUUGCUCAGAUCUAGUGUUCCAUUUGGCUCACUCAACAAAAUGUAAUACGUUUAAAUAUAGCCACAAGCAGCGAUCAGGGGUCCAAACGGAUGUGUGAACUUCCCAAGGUAGCGCAAGGUUGAAUGAUUAAACCACCUCAGCAGGUGAAAGAGGACCAUUUGAAUAUUUUAAAUGCUACAUAAGGAUUUAAAGACAAAAUUAAUUUUGAAGACCAAACCAUGUGAGAGGAACAGAUAAAGACAUGUCGUAGCUUGCUGUCGUGUCAUCUUAUGGCUUAUUUGUUUGAAAUUGGGUAAAUCGCUUCUAUAUGCUAUUAUGAAUUCGUCAUUCACACAGGCAUGCAUUGAUUGGCCGUUGGCAGCCAUUUUGUUGAGUGAGCCAAAUGGAACACUAGAUCUGAGCAAAUGUAGCCAAUUGUAAACAUACCAAAUUUAAAAAUGUUUAGCUUAAGCGGUACUUGGGAUAUUGAAAUGUGCACUUAAUGUACUGUCUCCAUUUUGUAAACCAUCAGUUUUCUUGCCCCUCAGUUUAGGGAGAGCGCAGACAUGAAAUGGGUUUAAGAUGAGUGUGUCAGAUUCUCUGUCUCUGUGCGAGGUAUGCGUCUCAGACGUGACCAGGGCCCGCCGAGUCUCCCUGUCACACUGUUUUCUUCAGCAGUCCCCAGGGGGAGGGGAAGUCCAUGUUCAAAAACAAGCAAAUGUUUAUGGUACUGUUUGUAAUCUUAGAUCUAUAGUCUAUAAUUGUGGUUUACAACUGUUAAUCAACCAUACGUAUUAGCACAACCAAGAGGUAGACUUAUAAAUGCCAAUUGGGGUAUUGGCUGAACUAUGCUAGUUUACUUAACCCCUAAGUUUGGAGUUUUUUUAAGUUAAAAACCUGGUUCACGCCUUCAGGUUUAAAAAUGUUCACCCUUGAGGAGUGAAUAAAGUCAGCUGGACUAUGCAUACAGGCCUACAGGUGGAAUGACAAUACAUAUUAAGGGUAUUUCUAAACUAGACUAGCAUCACCAAAGAAAGCAUUCUCCUUCUUCCUCCAUACUUGAUCUCCAAACUUGAUGUCAGUGAUAAUAUCCAGUGAUCCUGCGACACAUAACACAGGCAAUGCUCAAUUACAGGGGCUUUCUGGGAAAAUCAUACAACCUAAUUGCAGCCUAACGGCCGAUGUUUCAAAUUGUGCAUGUGCAGCAGGCCUCGCCCCAGAUAGGGAUCAAAAACACCACACAAGAGCGCUGGGAAUCUGCCACCGGUCACAGAACUAAACGGUCACAAAAUUGUCCUCCAGCGAUGGGCCAGUUGUUGUGGUUGUUGUGUGUGUCCCCCCCCCCCCCCCCGCGCCACACACACACACACACACACAGACACAAAGUUAUGCCCCUCUGACUCAGCCCCUUGAGGCAGUAGUGAUCACAGAUCACAAAACAAACAACCGAGGUCUGCUGUUUUCAAAAGCAUUUCCAUCUUGUUGAUGUUAACCCCAAAAAACACAUGUUUGUAUCAGUUUCUUUAAUUGAGAAAUACUAAAAUAAUGAUAGUGAUCAAAAGUGUCUUUUUUUUCAGUGGAGGCAUCUGUCACAACAUCGCACUCUCUUACAGUCCACAAAACAAAGAAACACUUGAAAACAACCCCAUGUAUGGGAGAGGUCACAUUCUCUAGCAUUUCACGCUUGGCACAGGCUCACGCACAACACAACAAACCCCCAGAAACUCUUGCACUCAGCACUAUUGUUUUAACCUUUGGCAUAGUUUCAUGGGUAGCAUUUUCCUAAUUGCGUUCAUUCCUCAUCCACUGUCUUGUAGUCGUGAUCCCUAACGAACCCAUUGUCAGCCAACAUUGCGCUCGAUCCCUGGGGGCUUGAACAUGCCCUCAUGUUCUCACUGCUCCGUGAAGAUGGUGACUGAGGUGCGCUGGUGUGAGGGCUUGUUUUUGUUUCAUCAAAAACAGGAAACGAAGGUGGGGA
ensembl:lncRNA